ACACAUAUUAAGAAAAAGAGAAUCUUUGGUUGUAGGGUGUUAUUUUAAUUAAAUAGUAGUGUGAAAUAAUGAUUGUAUUGAAAGUAUGAGGUUGUAGUGCAUAUUAUUUUAAUUAAAUAGUAGUGUGAAGUAAUGAUUGUAUUGAAAGUAUGAGAGAGAAAAUAAUUAUAAAUAAAAGAAAAGGGGUACAUUAAAAGAAAAGGGGGUUUUAAGGGGUAAAAGUGGGAUAAAAACUUUCUAAAAAUAGAAAGUAUUUUAAAGUGAAAGAACUUAUGAAACUACCCGUUAUAGUAAGGUACUAAGGUGAAAGACCUUAAAAGAACGGAGGGAGUAUAUAUCUUUAAUACAUAAAAAUCAUUUUCUUAUUUUCUUCGCGAUAUACCGAUCAUAAGAUUAUAAAAACAUUUUCUAUUUCUUCCAAACAUAAUAUUUGCCAUUGAACUUUAACACCACAUCUUUAUUAAUAACUAAUUAACCAACUGAUCAAAUAAACAAACUAAAUCAGCCAAACACAGCUAACAUGGAAACAAGACGCAUGCGUAUUGAUGAUAGUGAGUAGUGGCAGUCCAUGUCUCCCUCCUCGAUCAUCAUAAUUCAUAACACUCCUCCUAUAACUCCAAUUGUAUUGUUAAGUGUUAAAUGUUAAAUGUAUUGUAUAUUGUAUACAAUAAUUGUUUUAUUCUCUUGGGAAGAGCUAUGAUGAAUCGGUCCGACCACGAAGCCAGAUUCUUGCGUUUACUUGCUUCAGAUUUACAUUUACUACUCUUCCUCUUUUUCUUUCCUCUUUUUUCUCCUUAAUUCUUCUUCUAAUCCACUUACCCAAUUACAUCUCCAAUCAAUAACCCAACAAAAUCUUUGUUUGAGAUGCGCGGUGUUCUGUCGCCGCAUUUUUGAUUCAUCAUCAUCACCAUUUUCAACAAUGUCCGACGCUUCUUUUUCCUCUUUCCAGGACAUUUUGGUGCCGAAAAAGUCAUCAUUGCUGCUGAGGCUGAUUACACUUGUAGUGUUAGCUAUGGUCUGUGGAAUCUCCUUUUCUAUCGUUUUCCUCAAACAAUUUAACAUUGGUCACGUUACUAUGGUUACAUUGUUCCCAAAUGUUCAAGUGAGUGAAAAGCCAUGCCCAAGGCCUGAUCUUGAAGAUUGGGAAGUUCCUUAUGUGCAUUUCCCUAAACCCGUUACUUAUAGCAGGGCGGAAUGUGCAUGCCAUCCUGUUCGGUACUUUGCCAUAAUUUCAAUGCAAAGAUCUGGCAGUGGAUGGUUUGAGACCUUGCUGAACAGUCACAUGAAUGUGAGUUCAAAUGGGGAGAUAUUUUCUAAAGCUCGGAGAGCUAAUGUUUCUAUUAUAACAGAGACUCUUGACAAGCUUUAUAACUUAGAUUGGAUGAGCAGUUCUGCCAAAAAUGAAUGUACCUCUGCCGUUGGCUUGAAAUGGAUGCUAAAUCAAGGUUUAUUGGAGUAUCAUGAAGAUAUCGUCAAAUAUUUCAGCCAAAAAGGCGUUUCGAUAAUAUUUCUCUUUAGAAGAAAUCUUCUGUGCCAAAUGGUAUCAAAACUUGCAAACAUCUUCGACCAUGAUAAUAAGCUCUUAAACGGGACACAUAAAUCUCAUGUCCACUCACCCCAUGAGGCUCAGAUCCUAGCAAGCUACAAACCUUACUUGAACGCCACAACUAUGAUACGCGAACUCAAACUUUUCCGAAACAUGGUAGCCAAAGCUUUAAACUACUUUAAUAGCAUCCGACACAUAACGCUUUAUUACGAGGACAUUAUCAACAACCAAACUGUAUGUAGUCUACUCCAUUGAGCUUCCGAUUCAAAGUUCAUUUGGUAGGAAUUACUUCACAUGUGAGACAAGAUCCCACAUCGAUAAAAUAGUGGGUUGUGGACUUACAUGUAUAUUAGGUGGGCUAAUGCUUCUAUUACCAUAUGGUUUUGGGAAACAAUGAACUUUACCAAAUGUAUGUGCAAGUCAACGCUCUUUGACCCAUGGGUUUGUGGGCGCGAGCCCACGGGUGUCCUGUGUCCACAUGAGUGGGCCACGAAAUUAUUAGAUGUGCAAGACUUCCUAAGGGUACCGAGAAUGAACCUAACGAGUAGACAAGUGAAGAUACACAAGGGACCGUUGUCGCAACAGGUAGCUAACUGGGAU